GGCUAUAAAAACCCCGUUCAGAAAGCUGGGUCUAACUUGCCAUCGUGGUGGCUGGAUCAAUGGUAAUGAAAGAUAGAUACGGUCACAGAAGCAAAAUCGUGCUCUUUCUAAGAAAAAACUCUGCCUCCGGUGACAGAAUGCAGGAGGGCUUAGUCAAGUUGUGACUGUCAGAUGAAUAUCUUUCGUGCAAACAUUCAGUGUCAUCAGUAUCUGGCUGCCACCCAGAAAUGGAAUCGGCUCAUUCACUUCCCGGUUUCUGCGAGUCAGCUGACAGGUGAGGCUAAGUCAGACCUGGUCACUGCCGAGCCUGCUCAGUCAGCAGCACAAGGCCUCGUCACCUUCCCCUCCUGCGGCUGUCCCGCAGCCCUCCAGCCCUGGGGAACUUAACCUUGUCUCUCAAACAUCCCACACUGCUCGGCAGGGGAUUCUCUCCCCCAGGGCACGAGAGUUCAAGGCCAACCCAAGGGCAGAAGAGCAGAGGGGGAGGGAGAGAGGAGCAAACCACACUCAGCACCAGGAGGAACCUUGGAGGCGAUCCAAAGACUAAAGAAGAGCAGUGUAGAGGCCAGAUUUUUAAUGAAAAGAAGAAGCCAGAUUUUUGAAGAUCUGACUUAUUUCUAAACUCUCUGCUUGUGAUGCUCGGAACAGCAGGAACAAAAUUUGGCAAGCGCCUGGCUCUUUGAUGAAAUCACUAAACAUCAACACCAAUCCCAGAAUCCCCCUGCCUCCGGAGUCCUCAAAAUUACGCUGCAAUAAUUCAGCAGGUUCUGUGCCAGGCCUGGAAUCAGAGUGGAGAACAGUGGUGUUUUAAUGGAGGCAGAGGGACAAGAAUGUGUGAGGGCCCUCGGAAGGAAAGAACACGGCAAGUGGAAGGAAAUGAGAGCAGUCCCUCGAACCCGGAGUGUGAAGACAAAGGGAAGGAAUAGUGUGACGGGGAGACAGGCGGAGGCCCGAUCAUCAGCCUUGAAGGCCGCAGCCAGGAUUGCAGAAGACUGGUGACUUCAGAACCGGUGGCGAGUGUUUGCCAACUAAUACAAUCCCUCCUUCUCUCUCACACCCCUUUGUGGCUUCCAGCCUGUUUUAAAUUUAUUUAAUGAGGUUCAGCGCAGUGCCAAUGAAAAUCCCAACAGGUUUUUCUUGGAGAACGUAACUCGGAGGUUUAAAUGGAAUUGCACGGGUCAAGCAGUAGCCAAAACACUCUUGCAGGAGAACAAGGUGGGGGUUCGUGCCACACCAGAUGCUGACUUACUAUAAAGUUAAUGAAGAGGUUGUGUCGUGUUGGCCAGGACAGAAAACAAGGUAAAUACAAGGGGCAGAAAGGCCAGGAACAGGGCCUGCAAAAAGAAGACUCUUGGGAGAGAAGAGAGGCUGCCAUGGAAGGCAUGGGCUCUCACGGCCGCGGCCCGGGUCUGGAGCUGGAUGAACUGGUCCUUUGACCUCUGGCUCUGACAUACCAGCCACGUCACAUGAAGAAAGUUACUUACUCUGUCUUUCUGGUGUUGUUUUUUUAAAUCUCAAAAUGGGGAUACAAGCAGGAUCUAUUGGUAGGGUGACUAUAAGAGUUAAACACGUUAUCUCAUGCUUGGAAUACUGCUUGGUACCUGGUAAGUGUUGAUGCUGCCAUCACCACACAGGCCGACGUGCCGGGAUAACUGUGUAAUGAUUGGAUAAAAUGAAAUCAAAUCUUCAUUUCUUAAGAUAUAUAAAAACUGAUUCCAGAUAGCCCUGGCCGAGUAGCUCAGUGGGUUAGAGUGUCAUCCCCAUACACCAAGGUUGCGGGUUUGAUU